CUCACAACUUCAUUUUCAUUGUUAUCUCAAUGCUUUGAAGUGAUUGGAGAAAGCUACGAUUCUUUGUCUGUGUUCUUCAUCACACUUUCUGCUUCUUUUUGUUGUCUUCUUCAUAUUGUUGUUGUCAGAUUUGUCUUGUCAAGUGAAUUAAUGUCACCUUAAUUGAAGUUAUUUUCAUGGAUGCAAAGGCUGUGGAUCUUCUCUAAUGUAAAUGAAAAUAUGUAGUUGAGAUGUAGCAUGGCUGCUAUAAUAGGGUGUUAUCAAUUCCUUACAUCGGCACCUCGUGCAAAGGAGUGGGUAAAAAAGAAAUUGAUUCAACUGAACUUGUAUGAGGCAAGAGUUGGUGAAGUAGAAAAUGUCGUGGAGAAGCUCAAGAAGAAGAGAGAUACUAUUCAGCACACAGUUGAAGAGGAAGAACGUCGACAUGGAAGAAUAAUUCAUGUUGAUGUUAAAGAAUGGAUAGAAAGUGUGGAUAAACUCAUUCUCGCGUAUAAGGAUUUCCACGAGGAUGAAAUAUGCCAUAAAUGCGCAGUGUUUGACUUUUUAGACAAUGGUUACCUUCCGAAGCCAGGGAUAAGGUAUCGUCGAAGUAGAAAAGCAAAUGAUAUAACAAAGCAGGCAAAUGGAUUGCUACAAAAUGCAAAGUUUGACAUUUUAUCUUAUUGGUCUGGCCCACCCUCCAUGGCUGCCUUUUUUUCUAACCUUGGUUAUGAAAGUUAUUCAUCAAGAAAUGACAUUGUGAAAAAGAUUACUGAUGAAUUCCAGAAGCCAGGUGUUAGAAUGAUCGGGCUUCAUGGGUUGAGUGGCGUUGGCAAGACCUCUUUAGUCAAAGAAGUUGUGAAGAAAGCCUUAAAAGAUAAGAUGUUCGAAGUAGUGACCAUGGCAAGUGUGACAAAAAACCCUGACAUAAGAAAAAUCCAAGGACAAAUUGUUGAUAUGUUAGGGGUUGUAUUGGAGGAGGAAAGUGACAUUGCAAGAGCUGCGAGGAUACACCAGAUAUUGAAUGAUGAGAAUAAAAGUACGCUCAUAAUCCUAGACGAUCUUUGGGAAGAAGUGAACUUUAACCUGUUGGGGAUUCCAUGUGAAUUAGAGAAAGAUGAUGGCAUAACCAAUGUCAAAGGAAAAUCAGUUGAUGUUGAUAUUUUGAAGAAUGUGAGUGAUGGAAAAUCCCCUGUCCUUGAUGGUUCGACAAGUUUUAGAAAAGGGACGUUACAAGGUGUUGAUGGCUCUAAGAAUGUAAAUAAAGGAAAAUCCCCCAUCCUUGAGGGUUCGAUAAGUUUCAGAAAAGGAACGUUACACGGUGCUGACGAUUCUAAGAAUAUAAAUAAAGGAAAAUCCUUAAGUGAUGCUGACUCAGUGAAUGUCAAGAAAGGAGAAUUCUUUGGUGGUGGUUUAAGGAAUGUAAAUGAAGGAAAAUCGGCCAUUGAUGGUUCUGAUCGGGUGAAAAUUGAAAAAGUUGUUCCUCAGUACAAAGGGUGUAAGGUUUUGAUGAUUUCUGAAAUCAAACAAGUGUUGUUAAGUCAAAUGGAAGGGAAAGAAGAGUGUAUUUUCCCUGUGGAGGUCUUAAAGGAGAAGGAAGCAGAGACAUUGUUCAAGAAAAAGGCAGGAAUAGGUGGCAAGAAUUCUGAAUAUGAGAAAUUAGCAGCUCAAAUUGCCAGUAAGUGUAAAGGAUUGCCAAUGACAAUAGUUACCACUGCAAGGGCGUUGAAAAAUAAGAGCCUUUCUGUAUGGGAGGAAACUAAUCGAAAACUUGAAUCUAAAAACUUAGCUGGAGCACCUGAAUUUUCUACAAAGUUGAGUUAUGAGCUUUUAGAAGAUGAGGAACUCAAGCACACCUUCUUGCUUUGUGCUCGCAUGGAUCAUGAUGCAUUGAUUAUGGACUUGGUUAAAUACUCUAUUGGUUUUGGUUUUCUUCAAGGAAUCAACACAGCAAGGCAAACCAGAGACAAAGUGUAUACAUUGGUUGCAAAGCUAAAAGAGUCAGGUUUGUUAUCUGAUAGUUAUUCAAGUGAUCAUUUCACCAUGCCAGAUGUUGUUCGUGCUGCAGCUUUGUCAAUAGCAUAUAAGGAAAAUCAUUUAUUUACCAUGACAAAGGGAAAAGUGGAUGAGUGGCCCGAUAAACUUGAAAGGUAUGCUGCUAUUUCCUUACAUCAUUGUGACUUCAUUGAAGAGUUUCCUGGGAGAGUAAACUAUCCAAGACUUAGAGUCCUUCAAAUUGUCAAUAAUAUUCCACGUCCAAAAAUACCUAAAAACUUCUUUAAAGGAGUGAAAGAACUCAGAGUAUUGGUAUUGAUUGGUAUUCAUCUUCCCCUCUUUGAUUCUUCAAUUUCAUCUUUGCAUAAACUUAGAAUGCUUUGUUUGGAGCAAUGUUGCAUGCUAGAUGAGGAACUAUCCAUCAUAGGAGAGCUGAAAAGGUUAAGAAUUCUAAGUUUUUCAGGAUCUGAUAUUAAAAGUUUGCCAAAUGAGUUGAAUGAGUUGAAAAUGCUACAAAUUUUUGACAUAAGUAAUUGCUCUAAACUUAACAAAAUUCCAUAUGGUGUCAUAUCAAGCUUGGUAAGUCUGGAGGAGUUGUAUAUGAGAAAUACCUUGAUUCAAUGGGAGGAUGAAGAACAAACACGUCAAAGUCAAAUAGCUCUUCUUUCUGAUUUGAAACAUUUGAAUCAAUUGACAACUCUAGACAUACAUAUCCCAAAUGUUUCCUAUUUGCCAAACAAAUUGUACUUUGACAAGUUAUUUAGUUACAAGAUUGUUAUUGGAGAUUUGAGUUCAAUUUUAGAGAUUGAUUUCAAGAUGCCAGAGAAAUAUGAAACAUUGAAAUUUUUGGCAGUUCAAUUGAAAAAUGGAUAUGACAUUCAUUCUCUGAAAGGGAUCAAAAUGCUGUUUGAAGGAGUUGAAAAUUUGUUCUUAGAACUUAAUACUGUCCCUGAAAAGCAAAAUAGUGUCCAUGAAGCCCGUAAUAUUGUCCACGACCUCUUUUAUAGAUUGAAUUUAAAAGGAUUUCCAUAUCUUAAACAUUUGUGGAUUGUAAAUAAUUCUACCAUUCAAUCACUCAUACAUCCAAAGGACAGGCAACACCCUGAGAAAGCUUUUCCAAAAUUGGAGUCAUUAUGUUUCUAUAAUCUCAAGAUGGAUGAAAUAUGCUCAUGUAAACUUUCAGAACCCUCCUUUGGUAAACUGAAAGUCAUAAGAAUCUAUCUCUGUGGUGAAUUGAAGAAUGUCUUCCCAAUUUCUGUUGUUGGACUCUUAAAAGUUCUUGAAACAAUUGAAGUCUCUGAAUGUAACUCCUUAAAGGAAAUCAUCAAUGUGGGACGACAAAGCAACCCUGAAAAUCCCGAGCUUCUUACACUUCCUGAUUUACGCUAUUUGAAGCUACAAUCUUUGUAUGAAUUUAUUGGGUUUGAUGUCAUUCCUCAGGUAGAAGGAGAGGAAAGAAAAUUGUUCUACGGAAAGGUUGGAGUUUCAAAAUUAGAGAGACUGGAGUUGUCCUCAAUCCAUAUUGACAUAAUAUGGAGUGUCGACCAAUCUUCAAAAAGAUCAUCUUUUGAAAAUUUGACUCAUUUGGACGUUAAUGGUUGUUGGAAUUUAAAGUAUUUGAUGUCAUCUACGAUGGCCAAGGGUUUGGUGAAUCUUCAAAGCCUUUAUGUAAGUGAAUGUGAGAAGAUGAGUGACAUCUUCCUUCUCGAACAAGAUAGAGAGAAGGAUAUUAUGGGUAACAUCUUUCCAAAAUUGAAAAAUAUGAAACUUCGCAGCAUGAAGAGUCUGAGUAAGAUAUGGAAUCUGAAACACCCUUCAGACUCCUUCAAAAAACUAGACACUCUAAUCAUUGAGGAAUGUGACAAACUGGAAAAUGCAAUGGAGGGAAUAUUUGGAAGUCUAUGCAACUUGAGAGUUACAAAUUGCAGGUACAUGCAAGCAAUUUUUAAUAUAAGUGAGCAAGUUGGGGAUGUAGCUAGUAACUUGCAAGAUGUUCAUUUGGAAACACUCCCAAAAUUGGAGCUUGUAUGGAGAAUGAAUAAUAAAGACCUCGUAGGGAUUCCCAAGUUUAAAAAUCUGAAGAGGAUAUUGGUUCAAGAUUGUGACAGCUUGGAGUAUAUAUUUCCAUUUUAUGUAGCCAAGAAUCUUGAUAAUCUUGAAUCUCUUGUGGUUUGUGAUUGCUAUGAAUUGACUAAAAUUGUUGCGGAAAGCGAAGUUACCAACACAGAUAAAGCCAGAUUUAACUUUCCUAAACUAAGCACCAUCAAAUUUUCAAACAUGCCAACACUUACGAGUUUUUACCCAACGGUUUAUGAUUUAUCGUGUCCAUUGAAUGAGCUGUCUAUUGAACUUUGUAACUAUCUGGAACCAUUCAACAAGAGAACUGAGCAUGCACAAAGAAAUCAUGUACAUGUAUUCUUUCCUGAAGAGGUAAUCAAUAACUUGAAGUCCAUGCAAAUUGAGUCUUGGCAUACAAAGUCACCAAGCAGUUAUAUGGGUAAAAGGAACCAUCGAAGGGAUAACUUAGAAGAGCUUUCCUUAUUUAGAUCAAUGGAUACUGAGAUUUUAUAUUCUUUCCUACAUAGAAAUCCUAAUCUGAAAAGUCUAUCACUGAAUAAUUGUUUCUUUCAAAAGAUAACUUCUCCAAAAGAAGAUACUGAAAUUGAAAACUUGGGAGUAGUUCCAAGUUUGAAAAGCUUGAAGUUAAUAGACUUGCCGAAUCUUGAAGAGAUAGGCUUUGAAGACAUAAUUCUUGACAGGUUAGAGUUCUUGAUUUUGAGGAACUGUUCUUGUAUGAUUACUGUAGCACCUUCUUCUGUAUCUUUUACUCGCUUGACACAUCUAGAAGUGGUCAAUUGUGAACGAUUGCAAAGUCUAAUGUCAGCAUCUACUGCACAAAGUUUGGUUCAGCUCAGCACCAUGAAGGUAGUGAAAUGUGAAUCCCUGAUGGAAAUAGUAAGAAAAGAUGGAGAAAAAUCUGACAGAGUUGUUUUUCAACAAUUGAAAGUCCUAGAGCUUGUUUCACUGAAGAAAAUCAAAAGUUUCAGUGUCUCUGAUUGUGACUUUGAAUUCCCAUCAUUGGAGAAAUUAGUGGUGAGUGCAUGUUAUAAUAUGGCUAAAUUUUCUGAAACAGUCCCCAGCUCACCAAUUUUACAAAAUAUACAUGUUGUCCAUGGAAAAGAGAACAAGCGAUUUUGCUGGGAAGGAGACAUAAAUGCUACAAUCCAAAAAAUAUUCAAGGAAAUGAAAUUUUUUGAAGGCACGGAGGAGAUGAACCUUUCCGAACAUCAAAAGCUACAAGAAACCUGGCAAUGUAGAGUUGGUAUGCAAAAGCAAAAUAGUUGGUUUUAUAGUUUGAAAAUUUUGAAGCUUGAGAACUGUGAAAUUCAACCAUGUGCAAUUCCAUCUAAUAUUCUUCCCUAUUUGAGGACCUUAAAAGAACUGCAAGUACGAGGUUGCAACAAUGUAGAGGUCAUUUUUGAGAUGAAUGGUGAAGAGGGUAUUGGAUCAACAUUCCACCUGCAAAAAUUGAUUUUAGAAAAGCUACCAAAACUUAAGGAUGUGUGGGAAAGAAACGGUAAAGGAACUGAGAGCUUUCAAAAUCUGAAGCUAGUCGAUGUCAGUGAAUGUGACAACCUGGAAAUUGUGUUUCCUUUGUCUUUGGCAAAAAAUCUCAAGAAGCUUGACGAACUUAAAAUAAUAUCUUGUGAAAGUUUGCAUGAAAUUGUUAGGAAGCAAGAGGAGACAAUAGCGAUGUUUGUGUUCCCUUGCUUAACUACACUGACUCUUGGUUACCUGCCAGAUCUCAUUUACUUUUAUCCAGAACCAUUUACUUUGGAAUGCUCUACGUUAAAUAAAUUAUCCGUGUGGAAUUGCCCAGAGUUGGAGCUAUUUGGAAGUGGUAAUAGACAAUCCUUUUUCUUUGAUCUAAAGGAUAUUUACAACCUUGAGGUGCUGGUACUUGACUGGGAACACACAUUGGUGUUAAGGACAAAGUUGGGAGAACCUAUGGACAACCUCAAAUAUUUAAAUCACAUUCAGUUAUACUUUGAUGAUGAGAAAGAAAUACCUGAUUUGCCCAUUCAAAUACUCCAGAAGAUGCCCAAUUUAACAAAAAUGACUAUAAGCGAGUGCAGUUGCCUCGAAGUAUUCCAAACUCAAAUCCCUGAAAUUGUUGAAAAAAGGGUGCUUACGCACUUGAAAAUAUUGAAACUCGAUAAUGUGUCAAAACUCCAGUCCAUUGGGUCGGAGGACUCACCAUGGUUAAACGUGAUUUGUGAUAGUGAAAAGCUCCAACAAUUGUAUGUUAUCAAUUGUCCUGAUUUGAAAACAUUAGUGCAUUCUACUCCUUCUGUGACUUUCACGUAUGUAAAAGAAAUGUACAUAGACAACUGUAAUGAAUUGACAUAUUUAUUCACAUUAUCAUCAGUGAACAAGUUAGAGAAUCUUGAACAUAUAGAAGUCACUGACUGUGAAUCAAUGGAAGCAAUAGUCUUGAAAGAAGAGGAUGACAUUUCAGAAGAGAUCAAGUUGCAGAAGCUAAAGCGAGUAGAACUAAAUGAUUUAUCAAGCUUGGAAUGCUUUUAUUCGGGCAAUGACACUUUACGAUUACCCUCCUUGAUGCAAGUGGAUAUAUGGAUAUGCCCCAAGAUGGAGUUUUUCUCUCGUGGAGACAUAUACCUGAAUUCUUCUUUUAAAGGAAUUCAAGCUUCAAACGUCUCAAGUGAUGACUUGGUCUUUCACCAUGAUCUUAACUCUUCAGUACAGAAGGUGUUCCUGCAACAGGAGUUUUUUCAAGCAGUGGACAAGGAGUGCUUUUCUAAUAAUCUUGAGCUACAAGAAGAAUUGAGUUGGAAAAUUGGUUUGCAAAACAAAUGGUUGGCCAAUUUGGAAACUUUAAAGUUGCAGAACUGCACGCUAUCAUAUGCAAUUCCAUCUUCUAUUCUUUCUCUUUUAAAGAACUUAAAAGAGUUACAAGUACAAGAUAGCGACCAAGUAGAGACAAUUUUUGAUAUGAAUGAUGACACUGAGAUUAUGGAAUCAGAAUCCCAGUUGAAGAUAUUGACUUUAAAUGGGCUAUCAAAGUUGACACGUGUGUGGGAAAAGGACAGUCACAGAAUUCUCAUCUUUCGAAAUCUACAGGAGGUUGUUGUUAGUGAUUGUGCAAAGCUGCAAACUUUAUUUCCUGCUUCCCUGGCAAAAAGUCUUAAGGAUCUUAAGAAGCUCAAGAUAGAUUCCUGUGAAAAUUUGCAAGACUUUGUUGAACAAGAAGAAACAACAUUUGCAACAGAAAAGUUUGUGUUCCCUUGUCUAGAGAAUUUGGAACUCAAUGACUUGACCCAUGUCACUUGUCCUAAAAAUUUCAUUCUGGAAUUCCCCUCCGUAAAAUUCUUAUCUGUGAGGGAUUGUGAUGAGCUAGGGUUAUUUCAAAGUGUAUACGAUCCCAUGGGUAAGGGUACUUCAAACAACAGACUUCCUCUUAUCUCAGAUCCAAAGGUCAUUUCCAACCUCGAGAAACUGACACUUGAUUGGAAGCAAAUUUUGUCAUUAAGCUUAUGGUUUAAGUCACAGAAAUCUUCGAAAGGUCUCACAAAUUUAAACAGCAUUGACUUGUUCUUUGGUGUUGAUGGGAAUAAAAUGCCUAUGUUGCCCAUUGAAAUACUCAAGGCACCAAAUUUAAUAGAACUGAAUAUAAACAAUUGCGAUAGUAUCCAGAAUUUCCUUGCUCAGAACCCUAAGAUUGGUGAGGAGGAGAUGCUAAGACAGUUAACAAUAUUGAAGCUAUGCAAUGUGUCCACUACACAGUUCUUCGAGUUAGAGCACUGCUCAAGCUUAAACAUAAUCUGUGAGAGGCUCCACAAAUUAACUGUUUCCCAAUGUCCCCAUUUGACAACAUUAGGAGUACAUUCUAUGGUGUCUUUCUCUUGUCUGAAAGAAGUGAAUAUAUACAAAUGUUCAAACUUGAAGUAUAUAUUUACAACUUCAGCUUCCAAAAAGUUAAUGAACCUUGAGGAGAUUAGGGUCAUCGAAUGUGAAUCACUGACAGAAAUUCUGGCUAAAGAGGGAGAAGCAACUUUUGAAGCCAUAAAAUUUGAGCGACUCCACACCAUUCAUCUACAGUCUUUAACAAGUUUAGUAUGCUUUUAUUCUGGGAGUGACACUCUACAGUUAUCAUCUUUGAAAAUUGUGGCAAUAUGGAACUGCCCCAACAUGGAGAUUUUCUCCCAAGGAAUUGAAUCCCUUAUGGGAAUUACGUUAUCCAUGGACCAGCAAGCGGACGAUUUACCCCCUCCACAAGAUCUUAACACCAGAAUAAAAGGGAUCUCACAACGAAAGGAGUUUUUCAAAACAGUAGACAAGCAGUGUUUUCCUGAUUAUGUUGAGCUACAAGAAAAUCUACAUUGUGAGUUUGGCCUGCAUAACCAAUGGUUCGGCGAUUUGGUUAGUUUGAAGCUUCAGAACUGUACUAUGCCAUAUGCAAUUCCAUCUGAUAUUAUUGCUCUUCUAAAGAGCUUAAGAGAGUUGGAAGUACGGGAUAGCACAACAAUAGAGGUACUUUUUUUUAUGAAUGACAGUGAGAGUAUGGAAAUAGCAUCCAGGUUGAGGAUUUUGACCAUAGAAGGGCUACCGAAGUUGACACGUGUUUGGGAAAAGAACAAAAAUGGAGUUCUCAUCUUUCCAAAUCUACAACAGAUAUUUGUUAGCAAUUGUGAAAAAUUGGAAACUCUAUUUCAUGCUUCCAUGGCUAAAAAUCUUAAAAGGCUCAAAAGAAUUGAAAUAGAAUAUUGUGCUGAGUUACGAGAAAUUGUACAAAAAGAAGAAGACAUAGAAGAAAAGUUUUUGCUCCCUUGUUUAGAGAAGUUGUAUCUUUGGACCUUGCCACAACUCACUUGCUUUUACCCUCAAACAUUUGCUUUGGAAUGCCCAGCCUUAAAUGAAUUAUAUGUAGUGGAGUGUGAAGAAUUGGAAUUGUUUCAAAGUGAAAAUUCCAUGGGUGAAGGUAAUUCAGUUAACAAACCGCCUCUUUUUUCAAGUCUAGAGGUCAUUUCCAACCUGAAAGAAUUAGAACUUGACUGGAAACAAAGUCUGCCAUUAAGAUCAAGGUUUAAGUCUGAAAAAUUUACAGGAGUCUUCAAAAGUAUAAAUAAAAUAGGCCUAUGCUUAGGCACUGAUCAGUGUGAGAUGCCUAUAGUGCUCGAUGAAAUAGUCCUUAAAGCACCCAACUUAAUCGAAAUGUGUAUUCAGAUACCAAAUUGCAAUAAUUCCGAGGUUUUCCUUGCUCAAAACCCCAAAAUUGGUGAGGAUGGGGUGCUCAUACAGUUACGAAUAUUGGAAAUAAUCCAAGUAUCGGCUAUCAUGUCCAUUCUGUCAGAGAACUCAUCAUGGUUAAACCCAAUCUGUGAGAAGGUUCAUGAAUUAAAUGUCUUAAAGUGCCCUGAUGUUGAAGCAGUUGGAGUACAUUCUACAAUGUCGUUCUCUUUUCUGAAAAAAUUGGUAGUAUCUCAUUGUCCCCAAUUACAAUAUUUAUUUACAACUUCAGUCGCCAAAAAGUUAGUGAAUCUCGAAGAGAUCGCAGUCUUAAAAUGUGAAUCGUUGAAAGAAAUAGUGGCCAAAGAGGGAGAUGAAGAGGAACGCAAAGUAAAAGGUGAAGAUAAAUAUGAGAAUGAGAUUAUAUUCAUGAAGCUUGAGAAGUUGAUGCUUGGCUUAUUAGGAAAAUUAGAAAGCUUUUACACGGGGAGUUGCACUUUGAAUUUCCCAUCCUUGAGAAACGUGGUGGUCAUCCAAUGCCUGAACACCAAAAUUCUCCGUCAUCGUGAUAAAGUGCCUCCAAAAUUUAGGGUGGUAAUAGAUAAAAUCCGUUGUAAAGGUGAUAAAAAAGCUCUGAUCACGCAACAGUUUGAGGAGGAGGCAUCCUAAGUUAGUUUGGUAACAAAUUCCAUUCACUUGAGAUUGUGUAAGCUGAAAUAAAUUGUCAUUGUGUUCGUGUAAGCUGAAAUAAAUUGUCAUUGUGUUCGCUUAUGGUACCCUUGAAAAUUUGUUUUCUUCUUUCUAUUAAAGCACACCAACAAAGAAGAUAUGGAAUGCUACUUCAGGGAAUCAGGGGACUCAGAAGGAAAUGAUAGCAACAUGACUACAACUAUCAACAAAUAGUUUUCUUUGUUUUGAAGUGCAGUGUUCAUGAAUAAAGUUUCCAUAUAUGGCUACAGGAAACAUGAAUGGUUUUCAAGAUAUACAAGGUUGUUUGUGAAUAAGUGUUUCCUGUAUUAAUUCAUACAGGAGCAGGUGGGAAGGUUGUUUCAUAUAUUUGAGCAAUAUUGCUUUAGGAUAUUUGAAUUGUUUUAAAUUAAUUUCUUAAAAGGUUUUCUAUGAAUAAAUUUGACAUGAGUUUAUUUUAGAGAUGCUCCAUGGACAAGUUGAAGUUGGAAACUGUGUAUUGAAUCUCUACACAUGUCGUGUAUGGUUUCUCUUUUAUAAGGUGUUUCAUGAACAAUGCUGUUAUGUAUUUGUGUGUAUGUACUAUGGUUCUUGAGUUGUAAAAUGAGUGUUUUCUUAAUAAAGUUGUCCUGUUCUACAA